GACGAACGCUGGCGGCGUGCUUAACACAUGCAAGUCGAACGGACCCUUUGGGGUUAGUGGCGAACGGGUGAGUAACACGUGGGUGAUCUGCCCUGCACUUUGGGAUAAGCCUGGGAAACUGGGUCUAAUACCGGAUAGGACUACGCACUGCAUGGUGUGUGGUGGAAAGCUUUUGCGGUGUGGGAUGGGCCCGCGGCCUAUCAGCUUGUUGGUGGGGUGAUGGCCUACCAAGGCGACGACGGGUAGCCGGCCUGAGAGGGUGACCGGCCACACUGGGACUGAGAUACGGCCCAGACUCCUACGGGAGGCAGCAGUGGGGAAUAUUGCACAAUGGGCGCAAGCCUGAUGCAGCGACGCCGCGUGAGGGAUGACGGCCUUCGGGUUGUAAACCUCUUUCGCCAGGGACGAAGCGCAAGUGACGGUACCUGGAGAAGAAGGACCGGCCAACUACGUGCCAGCAGCCGCGGUAAUACGUAGGGUCCGAGCGUUGUCCGGAAUUACUGGGCGUAAAGAGCUCGUAGGUGGUUUGUCGCGUUGUUCGUGAAAACUCACAGCUUAACUGUGGGCGUGCGGGCGAUACGGGCAGACUGGAGUACUGCAGGGGAGACUGGAAUUCCUGGUGUAGCGGUGGAAUGCGCAGAUAUCAGGAGGAACACCGGUGGCGAAGGCGGGUCUCUGGGCAGUAACUGACGCUGAGGAGCGAAAGCGUGGGGAGCGAACAGGAUUAGAUACCCUGGUAGUCCACGCCGUAAACGGUGGGUACUAGGUGUGGGUUUCCUUCCUUGGGAUCCGUGCCGUAGCUAACGCAUUAAGUACCCCGCCUGGGGAGUACGGCCGCAAGGCUAAAACUCAAAGGAAUUGACGGGGGCCCGCACAAGCGGCGGAGCAUGUGGAUUAAUUCGAUGCAACGCGAAGAACCUUACCUGGGUUUGACAUGCACAGGACGCCGGCAGAGAUGUCGGUUCCCUUGUGGCCUGUGUGCAGGUGGUGCAUGGCUGUCGUCAGCUCGUGUCGUGAGAUGUUGGGUUAAGUCCCGCAACGAGCGCAACCCUUGUCUCAUGUUGCCAGCACGUUAUGGUGGGGACUCGUGAGAGACUGCCGGGGUCAACUCGGAGGAAGGUGGGGAUGACGUCAAGUCAUCAUGCCCCUUAUGUCCAGGGCUUCACACAUGCUACAAUGGCCGGUACAAAGGGUUGCGAUGCCGUGAGGUGGAGCGAAUCCUUUCAAAGCCGGUCUCAGUUCGGAUCGGGGUCUGCAACUCGACCCCGUGAAGUCGGAGUCGCUAGUAAUCGCAGAUCAGCAACGCUGCGGUGAAUACGUUCCCGGGCCU
rnacentral:rRNA from 1 species